AACGAACGCUGACGGCGUGGCUAAGACAUGCAAGUCGUACGAACGAACCAAUUGAGUAAUCAAGCGGUAAGUUAGUGGCGAAAGGGUGAGUAAUGCGUAGGUAACGUACCCCAGACUCCGGAAUAGCUGCGGGAAAGUGCAGGUAAUACCGGAUAAGCUCUUAGUGUCGCAUGACACAGAGAGAAAAGGUUCGCUGGUUUGGGAGCGGCCUACGUCGUAUCAGCUUGUUGGUGAGGUAACGGCUCACCAAGGCUUCGACGCGUAGCGGGACCGAGAGGUUGACCCGCCACAUUGGGACUGAGACACUGCCCAGACCCCCACGGGGGGCUGCAGUAACGAAUAUUGCGCAAUGGACGAAAGUCUGACGCAGCAACGCCGUGUGUAGGAUGAAGCUCCUCGGAGUGUAAACUACUGUCAGAGUGAAGAAAGAUCUGAUCGAUCUCAGAGGAAGGUCCGGCUAACUUCGUGCCAGCAGCCGCGGUAAUACGAAGGGACCAAGCGUUGUUCGGAAUUAUUGGGCUUAAAGCGCACGCAGGCGGACAGGUAAGUGUCUUGUGAAAUCCCCCGGCUCAACCGGGGAACUGCUGGGCAUACUGCCUGUCUUGAGGCAAGUAGGGGCACGUGGAACUCUUGGUGGAGCGGUGAAAUGCGUAGAGAUCAAGAGGAACGCCAGUGGUGAAAACGACGUGCUGGGCUUGUCCUGACGCUGAGGUGCGAAAGCGUGGGUAGCGAACGGGAUUAGAUACCCCGGUAGUCCACGCCGUAAACGAUGUCUACUAGGUUGUGGGAGGUCUGACCCUCUCGCAGCCGAAGCAAAAGUGUUAAGUAGACCGCCUGGGGAGUACGGUCGCAAGGCUA
rnacentral:rRNA from 1 species